rnacentral:misc_RNA from 1 species
UAAAAAAAAAAAAAAAGAAAGAAAAGAAAAGAAAAAAGAAAAAACAUGAGACUAUGUCCUACAUCAAUCUAAUUUUAUAUUAAUUUAAUGUAAAUUAUUUAGAAAUAAUCAAAAUUUCGUUUAGCUCUAGUCUUGAUUGACAACUUAUAAUUAACAAAGCCUAAUCAAUAAAGUUUAAGCUCAAUUUGAGCUUAAGCUCAAAUAAAAUCAAGUAAACCAAGUUUGAACAACUUAGUAAUCGGCUUAGUUUGUUUACACCCCUACAAAUUGGCUUUUCAACUCUUUUAAACCCUCGUGUAGAUUUUUUACCCUCUAUGACAAGUUAGGGAGCACCACUGUAAUGAAUUAUUAGGGACUAGCUUAUAUUACCCAGCUAUGUUCGUCACCCUGAUGAGGAAAGUGAUCCUACUUUCACUAUUAUGUGUGCCAUAUUUGUGAAUGCUUAGUCCAUGCUUAAAAGGUUAACAUAAAGAGAUAAGAAAAAAAAAAUAAAGCAACCGAUAUAACAGUAUAUCCCACGUUUUGAACUGGCUGAUUUCAUGAAAAAUUAACUUGAAAAGCCUUCGGAUUUAGUGUGAAAUGUUAAGAUGGUAGGUAUAUUGAGUGGCAAAAUUCAUGCAAUAUAUCUUCAGUUCAUGAUUUAUUAUUCUUAGAGAGAUAGAAAUGCAUUUUGGGAAUUUGGUUAAAAUUGACUGCCAUAUUUGGUCGUGCAAUCAUCCUUUCCAGUUGACUAUCUGACUAUCUGUAAUAUGUAUGUUUAGUACACGCUUCCCAAACAAGACCAUUAUUGAUGGUUUAGUUAUGAAUGUGUACUACUUGACAUUUUGAGGUGCUUAGGAAUUUACAAAAUUCAAGAUAUAGAUUUGUCAAAUUAAAUUCGUUAGUUGUUUAUUAUCUAAUUUUAAACACAACCCAUUUGACCCAUGAAGAGUGGCUUGAUAAUCUAAAUUCCAUGCUUGCUUCACUGAUUGGAAAACUGGCGUGCUGGCUACUAAUUGUGUUGAAAUAGAUAUAGGCUUUACCUUCAUCAUGGAUUAGUUUAUGCCAUAUGAAGGUUGUUUAUAAAACCAAAAUAACCAUUCACGUAAUUUUGGAUAUCAACAGUGAGGUGGGUUGGUCAUGUGUCUAACAUGUGACACAAUGAGGAUGCUGAGUUUCUGCUACUAUCAUUUUCUGUGCUAGCAAAGAAUUUUGAACCAAAAUAAAAUUCAGUAAAUGUAUGCAUAUAAUGGUGCAAUACAUGGUGUUUCCUUCGUGUCUAGGUCUUAUCCACUUUUUCUUCACUUAUUAUCACAUCAUCUGACAUUUAUUUUAAUUUAUUUGUCUUACAUGGAAACAAUUUUUCUUUGUUCU